rnacentral:rRNA from 1 species
AAUAGAUACCCGGGUAGUCCACGCCGUAAACGGUGGGCACUAGGUGUGGGCAACAUUCCACGUUGUCCGUGCCGCAGCUAACGCAUUAAGUGCCCCGCCUGGGGAGUACGGCCGCAAGGCUAAAACUCAAAGGAAUUGACGGGGGGCCCGCACAAGCGGCGGAGCAUGUGGCUUAAUUCGACGCAACGCGAAGAACCUUACCAAGGCUUGACAUACACCGGAAACGGCCAGAGAUGGUCGCCCCCUUGUGGUCGGUGUACAGGUGGUGCAUGGCUGUCGUCAGCUCGUGUCGUGAGAUGUUGGGUUAAGUCCCGCAACGAGCGCAACCCUUGUCCCGUGUUGCCAGCAGGCCCUUGUGGUGCUGGGGACUCACGGGAGACCGCCGGGGUCAACUCGGAGGAAGGUGGGGACGAUGUCAAGUCAUCAUGCCCCUUAUGUCUUGGGCUGCACACGUGCUACAAUGGCCGGUACAAUGAGCUGCGAUACCGUGAGGUGGAGCGAAUCUACAAAAAGCCGGUCUCAGUUCGGAUUGGGGU